rnacentral:rRNA from 1 species
UACAGAGGGUGCAAGCGUUAAUCGGAAUUACUGGGCGUAAAGCGUGCGCAGGCGGCUUUGCAAGACAGAUGUGAAAUCCCCGGGCUCAACCUGGGAACUGCAUUUGUGACUGCAAGGCUAGAGUACGGCAGAGGGGGAUGGAAUUCCGCGUGUAGCAGUGAAAUGCGUAGAUAUGCGGAGGAACACCAAUGGCGAGGCAAUCCCCUGGGCCUGUACUGACGCUCAUGCACGAAAGCGUGGGGAGCAAACAGG